GCACACACGGCCUUGGAGCCGGUCCAGGUCUUAUCUCCUUGGCAGACCCUUACGGAAUCACCCUGUUAUGUACACAAAUAGGGCUCUCUUUACUUCUUCAUGACCAACGGUCACCCACCACACUCACAGCACCUCUACAGGAACUGCAAAGAUUUCAGCAGGCAAUUGGACCCCGUCUGAUUCAAUGAGAGCUGGUAUUAGAUACAUCGCCCACACCCCGUCCCUCGGCGGCCAACGGGAGAGCGACACGCCUUCUUCAAGCCGUCUCGCCUCACAAGUCGUGACCGUGAUUCCGAGGCGCUCGAGUUGUAGGUGGCUGUAGACAGGAAGGUCCGUCCGGUGAGGGUGACGUUUGCGUUCUGGACCGCCGGGGGCUCCCCGCAGGCAACAGGCUCACAGACAGGGGGCGCUCUGCUCCACCUCAGGCUGGCCAGGCACCGCACCUCGACUGGGCCCUUCAGCACAAAGCCCUUCUUGCAGCUGGAGGUGGAGCGAGGGUCAUCGAUUCAAGACACGGGGAGGAU